CAUACUGCACAUAUAACUCUCCCUAUGACUCUUCUGUCAUGUUUCCAUAUUUUAAUUCCAGUUUUGCCUUUCUCUCUGUAUUUCAGGUUUAUUCCAUAGUAUGAAAAUCCAGCUGCUUCCUGUGCACUUCAUACAUCAUCACCAACAAAGCCAGACAUCAGCACCUCGCUCAGAUUCCAGGGGUGAUCAGCUGAUUCAUGCCCAUUCUGGCAUUCAUCUUCCCCAACACUGCAUAGUGCAUCAAGCGGAAGAUUCAGCAGUAUCCACAAAAAUAUAGUUUGUGCUAAUAAUAUACAUUGCCGCCAACCACAGCCUUUGCUUUGCAAUUGACUGAGGCAAUAUUCUUGAACGGAGGCAUGGUAAUGUGGACUUCCCAGAGGAUCAUAGAUGCUCUGACUUCUCUCGACCCACUUUUAAAGCAGUCAAAGCAGGAAUGGAAGAGGCCGUCACAAAACCACAUAGCAGGAGCUGCCAGCAACAGGAGGAGAAAGAAACGUAUAUUUCUUCAAGUUGUUUGUAAUGUUGUUCCCCUCUGGGAAGUACUUUACAAGGGGCAGUAGGGAACCAGGCAAUCAGUUGCUUGGGGAAAGGGCAAGAAAGGGCAUAGCUUUCCAGUGGGGGCAUGUGUUGUAGGGUAGUUAUCACACUGUGGGAAAAAACUAGGUUUUAUAUUUUCCCUUCUAAACAAGACACUGUACAAAGCAGUGAAAUUACAGGAACUUAGCAAAUGAGGCAACCAUUAUCUGCUCAGCAAUGGUUUCCAUGUUCUUGGGUGCACAGAUGGGAUGACAUGAGGCUGCAUGCCACAAGGUGGGAUAGAACUUGUUUCUCGAAUGUUGGCCUGAUCAGCGUGAUUAUCCUUUACUUUUUUUCCAGGGGCUCUUUCACUCUGGUUGUCUACGUAGCUAUA
rnacentral:lncRNA from 1 species